rnacentral:rRNA from 1 species
UGAGCGAAAGCUCGACUUAGUCAAGGCCAAGAGAGCCGGUAAAACUCGUGCCAGCCACCGCGGUUAUACGGGGGGCUCAAAUUGAUAUUACACGGCGUAAAGCGUGAUUAAAAAAUAAACAAACUAAAGCCAAACACCUCUCAAGAUGUCAUACUCUACCUGAUAAUAAACGAAGCCCAACAACGAAAGUAGCUUUAACACUUUUGAAUU